rnacentral:rRNA from 1 species
UCGAGAAUCUUCCGCAAUGGACGAAAGUCUGACGGAGCGACGCCGCGUGCUGGAUGAAGGCCUUCGGGUUGUAAACAGCUGUCAUGGGGGAGGAAAUUUUGACCGAUCCCAAGAGGAAGCACAGGCUAAGUUCGUGCCAGCAGCCGCGGUAACACGAACUGUGCAAACGUUAUUCGGAAUCACUGGGCUUAAAGGGUGCGUAGGCGGUCUUGUAGGUCAGAUGUGAAAGCCCACGGCUCAACCGUGGAAUUGCGUUUGAAACCACAAGACUUGAGUGAGAUAGAGGUAAGCGGAACUGAUGGUGGAGCGGUGAAAUGCGUUGAUAUCAUCAGGAACACCGGUGGCGAAAGCGGCUUACUGGGUCUCUACUGACGCUGAGGCACGAAAGCUAGGGGAGCGAACG